rnacentral:lncRNA from 1 species
UGAUCUGUAACUUCACUUGGUUCUUCAGUGGCUGGAAGGCAAGAGGAGCCUGGAGAAUGAAAGCAGUUUUUCAGCAAGAAGUUGGACAUAAAACAGAGAAAGGUUGGUGGGGAUGGGCAGCGUUUGGUUGACAUCAAAACGAAGUCAGGGUCUCACUUACAAGGGCCAAAGACCCCUGUGGUCUAACCACCCUGACUUAGUGUCCCAGGAUUAGGCCACUGGCGGGCAAGGGCCUUGAACCAAAAUCAUUCCAGAAAAAAGGUGAAGAAUGAAUUUGGUGCCCAACACCCCUUUUAUUCACAGGACAAAAUACCAAGCAUGAUUUCCUUUUGUCUUAGGUAUUUUGGAUCUGAUGAGCUCCCUGAGAAGCUCUCAAUAUGGCUUAGCCUUAAGAAGCCCUGAUGAAAGGGCAGCAACUUCUUUCAAAACACAUCUCCAGGAGGAGUCACGACGGCGGAGAAGUAGCAGGCUGAGACUACUUCAGCUAGCCGGAGAUCAGCUAGAUAGCUUAUCUAAAGAUUGCAAACACCUGAAAAUCCAUCGGCAGNNNNNNNNNNNNNNN